AGCAGCCGCGGUAAUUCCAGCUCCAAUAGCGUAUAUUAAAGUUGUUGCAGUUAAAAAGCUCGUAGUUGAACUUCGGGAUUUGUUCAUUGGUCAGGCUUAACUGUCUGUACUGGUGUGACGAAUUCCUACCUUCUGAGGAAUCUUCAUGUCAUUCAGUUGGUGUGAGGGGGAAUCAGGACUGUUACUUUAGAAAAAAUUAGAGUGUUUAAAGCAGGCUAUCGUCUGGAUACAUUAGCAUGGAAUAAUAAAAUAGGACGGUUGGUUCUAUUUUGUUGGUUUCUAGGAUCACCGUAAUGAUUAAUAGGGAUAGUUGGGGGCAUUAGUAUUCAAUUGUCAGAGGUGAAAUUCUUGGAUUUAUUGAAGACUAACUACUGCGAAAGCAUUUGCCAAGGAUGUUUUCAUUAAUCAAGAACGAAAGUUAGGGGAUCGAAGACGAUCAGAUACCGUCGUAGUCUUAACCAUAAACUAUGCCGACUAGGGAUCGGACGAAGUUUAAUUUUUAAAUGUACUCGUUCGCACCGUUACGGGAAAACC
rnacentral:rRNA from 1 species